AUGAAUCCAGAACUUGAGAUCAUAAAAGCAGUCCUUAUGAAAAGCUACGAUGGUUUACCCUAUCACCUCAAGGCUUGUUUCUUGUAUCUUGCCAUCUUUCCUGAAGACUACAUGAUUCUGCGGAGACGCUUAGUGCGUCGGUGGAUUGCAGAGGGUUACUCAAGUGAGGUGCGUGGCAAGUCUAUGGAGGAAGUAUUGGACGGUUACUUCAUGGAACUUAUAAGCAGGAGCAUGAUUAUGCCAUCUCAACAGUCAAUUUAUAGCAGGAAAGGAAUUGACUCCUGCCAUGUCCAUGAUCUCAUUCGUGAAAUUGCCAUCUCAAAGUCUAUGGAGGAGAAUCUUGUUUUCACAUUGGAGGAAGGGUGCAGCUUAAACAACCAAGGCACAGUGCGACAUCUUGCUAUAAGCAGCAAUUGGAAGGGGGACCAGUGUGAGUUUGAGAAUAUAGUAGACUUGUCCCGUGUGCGAUCCUUGACAGUGUAUGGAAAUUGGAGGCCGUUUUACAUUUCUGAUAAGAUGAGGUUGCUAAGAGUGCUGGAUUUGGAAGGCAAGUGGGAUCUGGUUGAUCAUCACCUUCAGCACAUUGGGAAGAUUGUACAUCUUAGAUAUCUUUCUCUAGCGGGACAUGCUGAUAUAUUUCACCUGCCAAAUUCAUUAGGGAACCUGAGACAACUCCAGACACUAGAUAUUUCUGGUACGAGCAUAGUGAAGCUACCAAGGGCCAUCACCAAGCUUGUGAAGAUGCAACACAUUCUUGCUAGAAACAUAGGAGAGGCAAAUUGGCCUUUAUAUGAUGCAGCAGAUGAGCAGUCACUAAUGCGCUUGUUGUGUGUCAUGUUGUGCACCUAA
rnacentral:rRNA from 1 species